rnacentral:tRNA from 1 species
UCUGGGCCUGGGGGAACACGUCGCGCCGCGCACCUACCGUGUGCCCGUCGGUGUGGGCUUCGAGUGCCCGGACCGGGUC